CGGCAACGCCGGAUCGUUAACCCACUGAGCAAGGGCAGGGACCGAACCCGCAACCUCAUGGUUCCUAGUCGGAUUCGUUAACCAUUGCGCCACGACGGGAACUCCAGAAGCAGACUCUUGAAGCAUCCGUUUGGAGGUGGAGAGCUCCAGGUUGGGCUGUGUUGGGGGUGGGGGGGAACAGCUGCUGCAAAGGCCCUGGGGCUGGAACAAUACAGUCUGCCUGCGGAAAAGGAAAACACAUGUGGCUGGUGCAGCAUGAGGGAGUGGAAAGGUCGGCUGGGGCCGAGAGGUAGGCAACGGAUCGACCCCUUCCGGCUUUGCUGGAAAGACGUGGAGCAGGCGUCCGCAGGGAUUGGAUUUGCAUUUUAGGGCCGCCUCCGAGCGAGGAAGUGCAUUCUGGGAGAGCAGGAGAGAGGGGUGGAUGGCGCGUGGCUGCCGGGCACCCGGUCCAGGCUCCACCUAGACGUGCUCUACCUUCAUCCCCCUGCCUCUGAAAGGCCGCGUGGACAGGAGGCCCCCCGAGGAAGGGCAAAGGUAGAAUGGAGUUUAAUUUCCAUUUUAAAUUCACGUGGAAAAUUUCUCUCUGAUCAUCUGCAACUGAGGAUCUGAAAUUGUUAUCUGCAAAGACACCUACUCCCCAUGCCAUAGGUAAGCAAUGCUCCUAAUUUUUUUAUGUAUCCUUCCAGAAUUUCUUUAUGCAUAUAUAUGUUAAUUUGGCUAGAGAUUCUUCUUCUUUUUAAAAAAUUUUUUAUUAGAGGAUAGUUGAUUUACAAUGUGCUAAUUUUGGAUAGAGAUUCUUAAUACAGCUUUUUUGGAGCUCUAUCUCUAGGAAGGAAAUUAGUCGAAACCCAAUGACAUAGGGCUCUGAAGAUUUCCCCUAAUCAAGCGUAUGUAUGGGGGGCGAGUGGGCAUGAGGUACACCUCUCUGAAGGGGGAGAGCUUUGAAACAUGAAUAUGUAAAACAGUAAUUGAUAAAGCUCAUUACGAAGUGGCCAAGGAAUGCACUAAAGAGGAAAGUUGCCCCAAAUCUCUCUACCCCCAAAUAAUAAUAAUUCAUAUCAAUUGAAUAUCACAUCUGGGCCAGUGAGGUCCAGGAGAACUUUAUGUGAUAGUGGAAAUAUUUUCUCUGCUGUUUACCAUAACCACUUAUGCCUGUGGAGUGCUUGAAAUGUGGCUAGUGCAACUGAGGAUCUGAAAUUGUUUAUUUUACUUAAUUUUAACUUAAAUAUACCCAGCCACGUGUGUCUAGUGCCUGUUGUACUGGGUAGCGCAGCUCUAGACCCUUUGCAGUGCGUAUGUGUUAGUGGAAGAAUGUAAAGAGGCCGGCGAGGCCGACUAUUUUAGCACUGCCUGCCAGAAGCCUCAGAAGUGUGAUUACUAAUUAGCCUAGGAAUCCUGCUUGUGGGAAUUAUCUUAAAGUAAUGGUUAUGAAUUUGCUCAAACCUAGCUCUGAGAGUAUUUAUUAACAUGAAAAACCAGAACAUUGUAGAAAAAUGUUUAUUGAUGUGGGAAUGUGUUCACAACUGUCUGUUAAGUGAAAGGCAGGUUGUAAGGCAGGAUGAUUUCAUUAAAAUAUAAAGAGCCUAGAAAGAUAUACUGCAAACUGCUCAGUAAAUGGCAGGUACUCAGUAAAUAUGUGUUGAUGAAUGAGUAAAGGUUAAUAAGAGCACUGAGUGGUGAGAUGAUGCGUGAGUUUAUAUUUUUCUUCUGCUCCCUUAUUUAUAUUUUCUAACUACCCAUGGUAAAUACAUAUAUAUACCUUUGUAAGAAGAAAAACAUGUAUUGAGAAGUAUAGUUGCUGGGUCGUAAUAUUUCAGAGCUGGAAGGAACUUUGGAGACAAAGGCACACAUGGCCAGUUAAUGGCAGAAACCCAGAUUUCUCAACUAUACACAAACAUCUUCCGAGCCAAGGAGAAAAGAUUGCUGGAUGGUCUCCUGUCCUGGACUGUCCCUGGCCAGGACAGAGGCUCUCAGCAUGGCAAUUCAGGAGUGGAUUUAGAGAAGAAGGAACAAAGGGUAUCAUGCUUCUCAACAAGAUACAAAACAGGAUGAAAAAUCUCACUAAUAAACUCUGGGCAUCAUGAUGAGGCUUUAGCUGGGCCUGCUUCCCCCCAAAGCCCCCUCACUGGCGAAUUCUUCCAAACAUUUUAAGAGGAAUUAAUCUGAUCUUUCUCAAAUUCUUGCAAAAAUUAGAAGAGGAGGGAACAUUUCCAAACUCAUUUUACGGCAUUAGUCUUACUCUGAUACCAAAACCAGACAAAAACACCACCAGAAGAGAACAUUAUAGGCCAGUAUCCCUGAUGAACAUACAUACAAAAAUCCUCAACAAAAUACUCACAAACUGAGUUCAACAAUAAAAGGAUCAUACGCCAUGAUCAAGUGGACUUUUUUCCAGGGAUGCAAGGAUGGUUCAACAUAUGCAGAUCUAUCACUGUGAUACAGCACAUUAACAAAACAAAGGAUAAAAGCCAUAUGAUCAUCUCAGUAGAUGCAGAAAAAAACAUUUGACAAGAUUCAACAUCCAUUUAUGCUGAAAACUCUCAACAAAGUGGCUAUAGAGGGAAUGCAUCUCAACAUAAAGCCGUAUGUGACAAGCCCACAACUAACAUCAUACUCAUUGGUAAAAAACUGGACGUUUUCUUUCUAACAUCAGGAGCAAGACAAGCAUGCCCACUCUUGCAGCUUUUAUUCAGCAUAGUAUUGGAAGUUGUAGCAAGAACAAUUAGGAAGCUAUAUUAUCUUCAUAAUUUUUCUGAUUAUCUAAAACGAUUCUACAAAAUAAGGGUCUAUUAAAACAUUAAUAAUCUAGGCCCUUCUCUCAAGGAAUGAAGUAGCUGGAGGCCUGAAUUCCAAGUUGGUUUCCUGGGUUCAAACUUUGGUUCCACCAGGACCUGGCAGCGGGCCCUAGAGAGGGCCCUUUUGGUGGCCAGUUUCUUCUUCCAUCAAGUGGGGUAAUACGCAGACCUACCUCACGGGGGCGCUGUGAGAACCAAAUGAGAUACUUGGUACAAAAUGUCAGUAACACCCCGUUUCCAUUUAGAAAUCAAGGCAGAUAAUAAAGGGGUUGAGAGCAUGCAUUUACGACCAGACAGUCUGGAUUCAAAUCCUGGUUCCUCCAGGGCCUGCUCAUAAAAUUGUGGGCUGGUCAUUUGUUCUAAGCCUGUUUCCUUAGCUAUCAAAUGGGAUGAAUAGCACCCACCCACAAGGGGGGUUGGGAGGAUUGAUUGGGCCCCUGCGUGCAAAGCACCAGCACAGUGUGUGUGCAACAUAAGCAUUUGACCCGUCGGAGCUCAGCGAGGAAAGUAGUUGUGCAGCAAGAAUCCAAGAGGGGAGGAAAUAAAUAUGAAGGCUUCCCCCAGGAGGCGGUAGAAAGGGGCCCACUCUGGCUUCUGCACUGGGGCAGCUGAUUGGCCCACUUGACGGUCCUCCCAGGUCCUGUGUGACCUCUUCUUCCACCCCGUGAGGUCCUCUCAGGUCCCCAGCAUUGGAACAAAGCCUCGGUCUGCUGUUCUGCUCCUGUUCUCUUUCUGAACUCUGAUUCGGCCCUUAUCUCAGCCAGCUUUGCCCUGCUUGGCUGCCUGUCACAUUCAAUUCCAUUCCAGGGCUUUCAUCCUGCCCUCGGCCGAGUGUCCCUGAGUCUGAGGCUCUGGGACGUAGGGCCUGGUCUCUGCUGUCCUUGGCUUACACAAGCCUGAGCACUGUGUCUGGAACACAGCAACUUCUCGGUUCAUGGAGGCAGAACAGAAUAAAAUAAUUGCAAAGCCAAUUUCCAGGCCUUGAUGUAGCUGGGUUUCAAGGCACUGAGACACAAGGGUACGCUUCCCCCAUCAAAACAUAUCUUCCUUCUCUGGAUUCCCUCUAGUCCCAGAUUCUACGAGUAGAACUUCUUUGCUUUGGCUUAGGCUAAAUUAGGACCUCGCGCCUGAUAAAAAUGCAACAUUUUCUCUAUCAUUGUCUUAGCAGGGAACAGACAGUACAUUCAAAAGGGUUUAAGUGAAAAAUAAAAUCAGGCAAUUGGUGACAGGACUAUUUGCGGUGAAAUGGGCAGGAUGGAGGAACCAUCAGGGUUGGCGAGGGGCUCUGGGACUUGUGGCGGUGGACAGUUGUUAGUGUCUUAGGGUGGAAGGGCCAAAGGGAGCCCCAUGAGCGCUGAGCUGUGGAGGAGCCACCUCAAGGGGCACGAGGCUGCAGAGAUGCAGCUGCUGCCCAGUGGUGUGAAGCUGCAGUGGGGAUGGGACAUCUCCAUGCUCUUCUCCCCUUGCCCUCAGAUCGCCUGGCAGUGACCUCACUGGCCAAACCCAACCAGAAGCCAGAGGGUGAGGGGGCCUGGGUAACACGGUCCCCAGCGGUCAGCCUCUCUGGAACUGAGAAAGAGAGAAGAGGAGUCUGGGUUGGGAGUGAGGGAGGAAAAGGAGAGAAAGCCUUGCGAGGUGACAUAUGCUAGUUUUAUCAGUCGUGUACAAUUCAGUGUAAAUAAAGGCAUCAGAUCCUUCAGGAAGCACAGAGAAAGGAGACUAGGGACCAGGGUCCCGAAGUGUUAGAAAGAAAAGAGCAUCACUGAUGGGGAACUGAUUUCCCUAACCCCGACCCCUGCUUAAAAAAAAAAAAAAAAAAGUCAAAUGUUGCUUGUUUCCAGUGGUGGCCCCGGAAUGUCCAUAUGAGAAGCCCUAAGCGUGGCCAUCUGGGUGGAUGGGAAACAGCCAUUGCCUCUGCACAGCAAACUCUGGGGCUUUACCUAGAUUUGGGUGCCUGGGAGUGGUGCUGGUGAGGAUUAUAGGGGCAUUAAGUCUCUUCCCCGUCCCACUCUGUCAGUUCCUGAACAAAACUUGGUCAUCGCAGGCCUUCUUGAGCCUCUUGGAGAUGCUGAAGUACGUUGAGAGCCUGAGUCCUGGGGGAUGUGACCUCUCAUCUAGAAGUUGACCUUGACCACAGGUGUCCUCUUACCACACCUUCUUUGAGACCAGUGGAGCACACUCUGUGCCCUUUGCAGGAACUGCGGGGCUUUGGCAGAUUAUCUUCAAACUUGGUUUGAAGAUAACCUGGGAAGGAGGAGAGAAAUGACAUCAGUGGCUAAGGCUGUGUGAAGGGCAUUAGGAGAAGUGCAGGGGCCAAGGUUGAGAGUCUGAGGGUGGAAUGAGGCUCUCUUGGGGUUGGGAAGGGCCAGAGAUCAUCGAGGGAGGGUCUCACUACUCAAAUGGGGGUGCAGGGACCAGGAAUACCAGUGUCACCAGCAAGACUGUGGGAAGGGAAGAAUCUCUGGCUGCACUCCACACCUCCUCAAUCAGGAUUUGCAUUUUCACAAGAUCCCUGGGUGAUUCUCAUACAUCCUUAGUUUGAGAAGCCCUGCCCAGACCCACACUUCUCAGGCAUGCCUGCCUGCUCAUUUCUCUUCAGUACACCGGUGAGGUUUUUCCCCUUCACAGGUAUGCUGGUGCCUUUUUUGUUCAGAAAGUCAUUCAGCAAACCCCGAGUGACUAGUUCAAACAAACAAACAAAGAAUUCCCAUAUGUCCUUCAUCCUAUUCACAUUUUGAUGAAUUUAUUGUCUUAUUCCAUGUAUAUGUAU